UACAGAGGUCCCGAGCGUUGUUCGGAUUCACUGGGCGUAAAGGGUGCGUAGGUGGUGAGGUAAGUCGGAUGUGAAAGCCCCGGGCUCAACCUGGGAACCGCGCUUGAGACUGGAGAACUAGAGUUCGGGAGAGGAUGGUGGAAUUCCCAGUGUAGAGGUGAAAUUCGUAGAUAUUGGGAAGAACACCGAUGGCGAAGGCAGCCAUCUGGACCGACACUGACGCUGAGGCGCGAAAGCGUGGGGAGCAAACAGG
rnacentral:rRNA from 1 species